ACAGUCAUUUUCUGUAUACCCCUAUUUUUUAUGUAUAGGUAAAUGCUCUUAAAGUAGAACAUUGGUGAUUCUCAUCAAGAAAAAAUGGAAACAUCUUACUUGGGCUAAGGAGAAAAAUGGACUGUUGCUCUAAAUGAAUCAUUUCAGUAGGACCUGAAGAAGAACAACAUUCAGGUUUCUUGAUGUCUGAAUUGAUCUGACUUGAUCCCUACAGAAAAUCUAUGGUGUCCUCAAGAUGAUGAGAAACACCAGAAACAAGCUGUAGGUCUCCAACAAAAGAAGUUGGGCUUCUUUAGCACAUCACCUUAGUCACAGAUGGAUUGCCUAUGUGACGUGUUGUAUUGAUGCAGUAACUGAAAGAGUAUGGAGUAAAAAUGGUCUCAAAAUAUCUGUGCGUGUGUAAAAGUAUCUGUGCCUGUGUAAUACUGGAUUUGUAACUAGUGUUAGCAUCGUUGUGUGUAAUUUUGGAUAGUUGUCUGUGAAACAUGAAUUGUAAACCGUAAAAAGAAAAUAAAUUUCUCCUACCCCUACAAAUGUUGAAAAAGUACGCACGGGUAUACAGACACACAAAACUGUAUUUACGCACAGAUCCGGUUACGAGUGCACAAGUAGUUUUGAGACUCAUUUCACGCUUCCGGAGCUCCCAGAUUUGUGUGUAGAUGGUACGUUUACAUGCUAGUAGAAAGCUGGGUCAUCUUAUUUUUGCUGCUUGUGUAGAAGUGGCAAAUACGUUAGUUCGAUGGAAAACGGUAUAUCUCAGUACUUCCUUAUAAUAUUCCAAAAAUUAUUUAGACAUUGUGCAUUUUUGAGCGGUACAGGAGACUACGUGGUCUGAAAAACGACCACUGGGUGGCGGAAUGGUUCGCUGGCCGGAAAAAUAGGCAGGCAAACCAAGAAGCAAGACGGAGCAUCCCGGUGGUCUGUCAUCAGAACAGUAUUGAAGGUAGACCUGGACCUGUAGGAACAUCAUCUGCUGCUAGACUUUAUUCACCAGAACGAACUGAAAGACAAUCUGCAGCAGCUGAGAUUCUGGGAGGUUAAACACCAAAACCUCAAGCUUUAAAUUGUGCCGUCGACUGGACCAAGAUGCCUUCCAACCCACUGCAGUAGUUAAUGUGCUCUGUUGGUAGACAUUAUGGUGUCUCCUUAAUCUGUAGAGCCUGUCCAUGGUCGGCUUUGAAUACACAGCUUUAUGGCGUUUUCUUUUGUUAAUUGAUUAUAGUAAAUAUUUAGACAUCCAUGUAAGUUUUAAGACAUUUAAUUGUUAACUUUAGGUAGCUGUGAAACCACCCAUGUUAAUUUGAACCUAUUUUGUUGAAAAUUCAACAGAUUUGUUGCAAUCUUAAGUAUUUAAUCUGUCCUUUGUGUGCAGUGAAAUGAACAUUAAAGUUAAUUCAGAAAACA